CCAAAGCACUGACCAACACUUUUGAAUUCACUGAAAAGAUUUUACUUGGUCUAGAAAGUGGUAAACUGUCACCCAGGUUGCAGACCCUCAAGAAUGACUUGUUGAUGUAAGUGACUGAUGGAGGAGGUGGAGAGGGAGGUGACUGAUGGAGGAGAGGGAGGAGAAGAGGGAGGUGACUGAUGGAGGAGGAGAGGGAGGUGACUGAUGGAGGAGGUGGAGAGGGAGGAGGAGAGGGAGGUGACUGAUGGAGGAGGUGGAGAGGGAGGAGAAGAGGGAGGUGACUGAUGGAGGAGAGGGAGGAGAAGAGGGAGGUGACUGAUGGAGGAGGUGGAGAGGGAGGUGACUGAUGGAGGAGGUGGAGAGGGAGGUGACUGAUGGAGGAGGUGGAGAUGGAGGUGACUGAUGGAGGAGGUGAGGGAG
ensembl:lncRNA